ACGGAAGGCAGCAGUGGGGAAUAUUGCACAAUGGGCGAAAGCCUGAUGCAGCGACGCCGCGUGAGUGAAGAAGUAUCUCGGUAUGUAAAGCUCUAUCAGCAGGGAAGAAAAUGACGGUACCUGACUAAGAAGCCCCGGCUAACUACGUGCCAGCAGCCGCGGUAAUACGUAGGGGGCAAGCGUUAUCCGGAUUUACUGGGUGUAAAGGGAGCGUAGACGGUUUGGCAGGUCUGAAGUGAAAUGCGGGGGCUCAACUCCUGAACUGCUUUGGAAACUGUCGAACUAGAGUGCAGGAGAGGUAAGUGGAAUUCCUAGUGUAGCGGUGAAAUGCGUAGAUAUUAGGAGGAACACCAGUGGCGAAGGCGGCUUACUGGACUGUAACUGACGUUGAGGCUCGAAAGCGUGGGGAGCAAACAGGAUUAGAUACCCUGGUA
rnacentral:rRNA from 1 species